UUCUUUUUCACUCACACAUAUUAUGAAGAUCACUAUAGGAGGAUUUAUGGAUGAGAUAACAGAACAGGAUGGCCUGUUCUGAAGUCUAAGGGAGGAAGCUUGCAGAAAUUUGACUCUGAGAGACAUUGAUUCAUGCACUAAUGAAAAACUGCUGGACUGGAGUACAAUGAGGAGAUCCUGCAAGCAGAAAAAAAGCACUGGAAUAGGCAAAGAUGACAGAAGGAUAUUACAGCAAUUUUUAAAAGAUGAUGAUGAUGAUGUGAUGAUGAUGAUGAUGAUGAUGAUAACAACAAUGAUGAAGAACUUCAGGAAGCUCUGAAGAAGUAUGAAUUCCAGCCCAGGCCUAUGUUUGUUUAUUCCACAGCAAAUCCAACUCAGCUAAAAUUCAAGGAUUGUAGCUGGAAUCUUAAUGAU